GCAUAUAACCCUUAAAUACCUCAGUUGGUAGAGCAUGAGACUCUCAGGGUUGUGGUUUCAAGUCCCACAUUGUGCA